GUUAAGCGACUAAGCGUACACGGUGGAUGCCCUGGCAGUCAGAGGCGAUGAAGGACGUGCUAAUCUGCGAUAAGCGUCGGUAAGGUGAUAUGAACCGUUAUAACCGGCGAUUUCCGAAUGGGGAAACCCAGUGUGUUUCGACACACUAUCAUUAACUGAAUCCAUAGGUUAAUGAGGCGAACCGGGGGAACUGAAACAUCUAAGUACCCCGAGGAAAAGAAAUCAACCGAGAUUCCCCCAGUAGCGGCGAGCGAACGGGGAGCAGCCCAGAGCCUGAAUCAGUGUGUGUGUUAGUGGAAGCGUCUGGAAAGGCGCGCGAUACAGGGUGACAGCCCCGUACACAAAAAUGCACAUGCUGUGAGCUCGAUGAGUAGGGCGGGACACGUGGUAUCCUGUCUGAAUAUGGGGGGACCAUCCUCCAAGGCUAAAUACUCCUGACUGACCGAUAGUGAACCAGUACCGUGAGGGAAAGGCGAAAAGAACCCCGGCGAGGGGAGUGAAAAAGAACCUGAAACCGUGUACGUACAAGCAGUGGGAGCACGCUUAGGCGUGUGACUGCGUACCUUUUGUAUAAUGGGUCAGCGACUUAUAUUCUGUAGCAAGGUUAACCGAAUAGGGGAGCCGAAGGGAAACCGAGUCUUAACUGGGCGUUAAGUUGCAGGGUAUAGACCCGAAACCCGGUGAUCUAGCCAUGGGCAGGUUGAAGGUUGGGUAACACUAACUGGAGGACCGAACCGACUAAUGUUGAAAAAUUAGCGGAUGACUUGUGGCUGGGGGUGAAAGGCCAAUCAAACCGGGAGAUAGCUGGUUCUCCCCGAAAGCUAUUUAGGUAGCGCCUCGUGAAUUCAUCUCCGGGGGUAGAGCACUGUUUCGGCAAGGGGGUCAUCCCGACUUACCAACCCGAUGCAAACUGCGAAUACCGGAGAAUGUUAUCACGGGAGACACACGGCGGGUGCUAACGUCCGUCGUGAAGAGGGAAACAACCCAGACCGCCAGCUAAGGUCCCAAAGUCAUGGUUAAGUGGGAAACGAUGUGGGAAGGCCCAGACAGCCAGGAUGUUGGCUUAGAAGCAGCCAUCAUUUAAAGAAAGCGUAAUAGCUCACUGGUCGAGUCGGCCUGCGCGGAAGAUGUAACGGGGCUAAACCAUGCACCGAAGCUGCGGCAGCGACGCUUAUGCGUUGUUGGGUAGGGGAGCGUUCUGUAAGCCUGCGAAGGUGUGCUGUGAGGCAUGCUGGAGGUAUCAGAAGUGCGAAUGCUGACAUAAGUAACGAUAAAGCGGGUGAAAAGCCCGCUCGCCGGAAGACCAAGGGUUCCUGUCCAACGUUAAUCGGGGCAGGGUGAGUCGACCCCUAAGGCGAGGCCGAAAGGCGUAGUCGAUGGGAAACAGGUUAAUAUUCCUGUACUUGGUGUUACUGCGAAGGGGGGACGGAGAAGGCUAUGUUGGCCGGGCGACGGUUGUCCCGGUUUAAGCGUGUAGGCUGGUUUUCCAGGCAAAUCCGGAAAAUCAAGGCUGAGGCGUGAUGACGAGGUACUACGGUGCUGAAGCAACAAAUGCCCUGCUUCCAGGAAAAGCCUCUAAGCAUCAGGUAACAUCAAAUCGUACCCCAAACCGACACAGGUGGUCAGGUAGAGAAUACCAAGGCGCUUGAGAGAACUCGGGUGAAGGAACUAGGCAAAAUGGUGCCGUAACUUCGGGAGAAGGCACGCUGAUAUGUAGGUGAAGUCCCUUGCGGAUGGAGCUGAAAUCAGUCGAAGAUACCAGCUGGCUGCAACUGUUUAUUAAAAACACAGCACUGUGCAAACACGAAAGUGGACGUAUACGGUGUGACGCCUGCCCGGUGCCGGAAGGUUAAUUGAUGGGGUUAGCGGUAACGCG
rnacentral:rRNA from 1 species